rnacentral:tRNA from 1 species
GGGCCCAUAGCUCAGCGGUUAGAGCAGGCGACUCAUAAUCGCUUGGUCGCGGGUUCAAAUCCUGCUGGGCCCACCA